UAUUUUAUUUAGUAUACUUUUUAAAAAUACCUUUAUUUUUAUUUUUAUGUGGUGCUGAAGAUUGAACCCAGCGCCUUGUACAUGCUAGGCGAGUGCUCUACCCCUGAGCCACAACCUCAGCCCCUCAUUUAAUAUACUUUUUAAAAAACAUUUUUUUAGUUGUAGAUGGACACAUUAUCUUUAUUUUUAAUUUUUAUAUGGUGCUAAGGAUAGAACCCAGUGCCUCACAUGUACUAGGUGAGCCUUCUACCACUGAGCCACAACCCCAGUCAUCCUUUAAUAUGCUUUUAAUUGAGAUGAUGGAUCUGACACGAAGCACUAUUUUACAGAGCAAGUGGAUGGAACAGAGUCAGACCGUGAGCUCCAGGCCAUUUGGCCAGUUAGUGAUGGUACUAGGGCUGGACCUUGGCUCUCCCUAGUCCAGUAUGUUUUGUUGGAGCAGAGGAGGCUCAGCAGGCUAGGGAGAUGGGUUUCCUCUGUGGGGCAAUUUGGUUGGCUGGAAGCAACAUCAGAAAAGCCACUGGUCACACAAGGGGGCAUGGCACCAGACACCAGCCUCUCCCCGUGCCAGCUGCCCUUUCAGCCCAACCUGCAGGAGUUACCUAAUACUGGGAAAAAAGGGAAGGAUUGAGGGCUAUGACUGCCUCUUUGUUCCUUAGAGGGCAGAUACAAAGGCAAAGGAGAACAAGAGUGAAGUCCCUGUGGGGUGCCACCUUUCUGCCUUCCAAGGGCAUGAGAUGUGCUACGGUUGCCUCUGCAUGGCAGGCCAGGGAAUGUUCCUGUUCUUAAUAAUCCCAGGAGAAGCAGAUCGAAGAUCCUCUCCUUAUUUGAGUUUUCUGCUGCGUUUAUUUGAAUGAUCACAAUUUGUUUUUCCUGAAGGAAUAAUUACUGUUUCCCUUCUCCUUGCAAGGGAAUAAACUAGUUGUCAAGUUUUUCUGGAAUGGUCUUAUUUUAGGCUUUUUCUUGUCUUAUUUUGGCCUGGCUUGCGAUGUAGGUUUAAGGGGACUAAAGUCCUAUGGUGGAAAUUCUGUGAUUUUUUAUUUGUUUGUUUAAGCUGAUAGUGACGUGGGGGGCCAUCUAGCUCAGUUGUCUUAUUGAGUACAUAUGGAAUCUGGGAUCUCGGACAGUGGGGUGAUUUGCCAAGAUUAUCCAGUUAUUCCAGACCAACGAUCAGAAUCUUUUUUUUUUUCUUUUUUCUUUUUUUUAUUGUUGGUUGUUCAAAACAUUACAUAGUUCUUGAUAUAUCAUCUUUCACACUUUGCUUCAAGUGGGUUAUGAACUCCCAUUUUUAGCCCAUAUACAGAUUGCAGAAUCACAUCAAUUACACAUCCAUUGAUUUACAUAUUGC
rnacentral:lncRNA from 1 species